rnacentral:sRNA from 1 species
UAUUUACUACAGAUAUUGUGAUGUCAUUUGAACAAUGAAGAUUUUUGAGAGAUUUUAUAGAUUACAUUGAUUUUAUCUUGAGCUUUAUUUGUAUAUUAGUUUUGUUGAUGUUUAUCACACUGUUGUAUUUGGUCUGACAAUGCAUCAUUUUUUUUUGUCCAUUAUUCAACAACAUUAAGGUGGAAUGGGACAAUUGUAGAUAUUAAUAUAGAUAAAAGUACUAUAUGAUAUAAUCAAAAUUUUUUACCGGUUUAAAAUUAUUUAAUUAUUCAAUAUUUGACCAAAAUUCAGUUUAAAUUUUUGGAAAGAUAAAAAUUUUAAAAGCCAAAGAGGGAGUUGAACUCAUGGCUUACAGAUCCAUUAACACUUUAAUCCACUGCGAUUCAACGCAAGGUACUAGAUAUAUAUUUUUUUGGGAAAGAAAAAAUCAUAAAGUAAUGCUUGGAUUUAUUGUCUAUUUAGAUAAGAAGUCUCUCAUAAUAUCGAAGUGUCCCAUACCAACUUAGUCACGUGUAUUUGUACAUGGUAAACAAAGUAAGUUUGUUAGCAGCAUUCUGAUUGAAUACUAUGAAGACAUAAAUGUGGUAGUGUCAUAUAUAUAGUCACUAUACCUACUACCAUACCAUUCACAAUCAGGGUCGUCACAUACUUUCCCAAGGAAUAAGGACACCAUAUUGAUGAUGUUGAUCAUUGUUUACAAGUGCAAUGAUAUACUUGUUGCUGUUUUGAGAAAUAAAUGUUAUGAUAU